ACUCGUGAAUUAAAGUCAGCUCCUCCUAAUAGUCUCACAAUGCGUCUAGCCGAAACUUUCUGUAACAUUCAUAAUGAUUAUGGUCUUAAAGCAAUGGCUCAUAUUUGGUAUGAAGUGAUACAAGAACUGCGCUACAGGUGGGAGAAUGGUAUAGUGUUACCAAGUUUAGGGAAGAGUCAUCCUGACAUGUCUUGUUGUCUCUUACAUCAGAAACUACAGGUUUGGAUGUGUCAUAAAUUGGACACGCUGCUAACUCUUGAUGACGAUGGACAGCUAUUCAAUGGAAGUUGCUCGCGACAAUUCUGAAACUGACAAGGAGUUUUUUGGGUGCAGUGGCCAAUAUCACUCCACAUGGUGUGAAAGAUGUACUAUAUGUACUUGACAUUAUGUUUUACGUUAGCCCUC